rnacentral:rRNA from 1 species
CUCAACCAACUCACCCGUACUAAAUUAAGAGCAAUUUAAAGGAGGUACAGCUCCUUUAAAAAAGAAUACAACCUCUCCCAUAGGAUAAGCGCCCACUUCACCUGAUUGUAGGCCCUCAAGCAGCCACCAAUAAAGAAUGCGUCAAAGCUCUUUACCCCUAAAAAAUCCAAAAACACACGCGACUCCCUCCCCCACAACAGGCUAAUCUAUCAUAAAUAGAAGUAUUAAUGCUAGAAUAAGUAACUAAGGAACAGCCUUCUAAAGCACAAACUUACAUCACACAUUAUUAACAGACAUACUAAUACCCCAACCACCACAAGAUCGAGUAUUCAAUACAACACUGUUAAACCAACCCAGGAGUGCCCAAUUAGAAAGAUUUAAACCUGUAAAAGGAACUAGGCAAACCCAAGGCCCGACUGUUUACCAAAAACACAGCCUUUAGCAAACCAAGUAUUAAAGGUGACGCCUGCCCAGUGACAUAAAGUUCAACGGCCGCGGUAUCCUGACCGUGCAAAGGUAGC